CUUUUUUCUCUCGAGGCAUCAACAACACAGCUAACAGCAACAGCAGUCUGGAAGAAAGGGUAUCUCAAACUAAGGGAGGACUUUCAACCAGCCAGACGUGAGACACACUGCAUUAAGCUGCUUUUCCACUGUGAGGACUGCAGGCAGAGGUUUCAUAGCACUGAGAUUUGCAGCUUCUGCUGGUCAGCGGGUUUUACUGGUGUCUUUUAUCCGUGCAUUGUAAUACUUUUUAUUGGUCUUCCUGCCAGAACUUUAUCUUGUGUUUGUAAUUUUCUUUUACUGAAAUUCUUUUUCAGCUUCAUUUUUAUUUGAAGGAGCUUUCAGUGGAUGCUAACAGCUUUAGAAAAACAUGUCUGUGCAGUCCACUGUCUCAUAUUGAGAAAGAGAAGCAUUUAUUCUGUAAUGAUGAUAGCUCUGACUUGGUGUGUUAAACUAUGUGAGCUCUAUUCUUGUACCAAAUUAUUCUGUCUGUCUGAUCAAGUGCCUGGUUUUGGGAUUAUUGUAUCUUGCUAACCCUCUUAUUUUGCCUCUCUGUUAUUCUUCUUUUACAUCCUGGACGAUGCUUUCUCACAGUCUUUUGCACGUCUGCAUCCGCACACCAGAGACUGAAAGAUUGAUGUACAGACCAGACACUAUAAGCACAGUCUGUUUCCAGUGAUGUUGUAGCCCGGUCCUUUCCUCACUGCUCAGCUGCUAUGUUAGGAAUGCUGGACGUGCAUCUCUAUUGUCUGGUCAAAGGGUCUUCACUCAUCUCAUUUGGCUCUCAUCCAUAACAACCUGGCCACUGCAGGGAGAACAGUUCAUUUCUUAAAGGGGCACACCAAUUUUACACAUGAAGAUAUCCUGAUGUCAUAAGGAGUAUAUGCCAUCCUGUGAAAACAAUUGCAUAAUGAGGGAGCUUUCGUAAAGUCUAAAAUGAAUCAUCAGGAUGACAUCAUCAACCCCCAGUUUAAAAGAUAUGACAAUUUACCAGUCAGGGAGUGUCUAAUGAAAGAUGCUAUUGAGGUGUAUUAUGGGAAAUAUAGGAUCCAAUGUUUUUGGACCCAUUCUAGGGGCUAGAAGUCACAAUAUAUCAUCUUUGGUGCUGCUGGAGUACACUAAUUCUAAAUACAAAAAUAGCUUGAUUGUUUUAGUUAAGAUGUUUUAUCCAACAUUUGAAGGGUUAUUUGUUAAUAUGUGUGUAAUUAGAUGUAUUUCUUUAUGUCAGAAACAGGCUAAACAUGAGCAGGAAGCAUGAAUUAGGCACCCCGUUGUCCUAGGGGUUAGAACGAAGAUCAUGAAUGCUUGUUUCCUGUCAUCUCUCAACUAUCAGCUGUCUAAUAAAGGUAAAAAAAAAAUGCCCUCAACAUCAUUUGAUUAUUUAUUUUAAAGAAAACGCCUGAAAAUACAUUAUU